rnacentral:rRNA from 1 species
UACGUAGGGACCAAGCGUUGUUCGGAUUUACUGGGCGUAAAGGGCGCGUAGGCGGCAAUUCAAGUCAUCUGUGAAAUCUCCGAGCUUAACUCGGAACGGUCAGAUGAUACUGCUUUGCUAGAGUGCGGAAGGGGCAAUCGGAAUUCUUGGUGUAGCGGUGAAAUGCGUAGAUAUGUGGAGGAAUACCGAUGGCGAAGGCAGUUCUCUGGGCCAUUACUGACGCUGAGGAGCGAAAGCGUGGGGAGCGAGCAGG